GAUGAAGAACGUAGCGAAAUGCGAUACUUGGUGUGAAUUGCAGAAUCCCGUGAACCAUCGAGUCUUUGAACGCAAGUUGCGCCCGAAGCCGUCAGGCCGAGGGCACGCCUGCCUGGGCGUCACACGCCGUUGCCCCCCCGCGCCCCGCACCCAACUCUUUGGGAGCGACCGCGGGGCGGGCUGAUGAUGGCCUCCCGUGCGCUCCGCCGCGCGGUUGGCCCAAAUACCGAGUCCCCGGCGACGUGCGCCACGACGAUCGGUGGUUGAGAGACCUCUGUCGCAAGUCGUGCGCGCCCGUCGCGUCACGCGGGCUCGCAUAGCGCCUCGCGCCGCUCCCGGUGCGGAGCUUUCAACGCGACCCCAGGUCAGGCGGGGUUACCCGCUGAAUUUAAGCAUAUCAAUAAGCGGAGGA
rnacentral:misc_RNA from 1 species